UCACCUCAUCCGCCGCCGCUGCCUUUUUUUUUACUUCAUUCACCAUCACUCUAUUUCAUAUACGCUUCAUUUUAAAUUUGAGAUGGUUCAAUUUAAUCAUACCAAAGAUGUCGAAGAUGAUCAGAAGAUGAUGACGAUUCCCUAUCAACAGGUUCCCGAGCGCUGAAGCUGAUUCUUCUCGUCCAGAAAUUCUCAUUGAAAAUUUACACCCCUGUAAAAGCUAAUCUGAUGUUAAAAAUCUUUCAAAAUCCAAUACAGGAUUCUGCUUCACAUUGGAAGAAUAGGACGACAAAUUCCUCUGAGCAAGGCGCGCUUGUCCGAAGCAAAUUGAGGCUAGAUGGGGUCAGUUGGUCCAUUGUUUACAGUGUAAUCUCUUCUACCUCUUUCAUCCUGAAACUUAUAAGUUGAAUGAAGAAACUCGAUGUUAUUGUCUUACUGUUAAUAAUCUAUUUCUUCUCCAGGUUGCUUCUGGACAAAGGAUCAAAAGGAGGACAUUGCAUGAUGUCCAACGAAAGAAUUCACCAGCACAUGAAUUGAGUGAUCAUGUGGUCGAAGCAAGCAGCAUCCCAGUCAAUGUAGGUGGGUGCAGGGUGAAGGCUGAUAAUGCACCCAUAGUAACCUCCAUUAUAGCCGGGUAUGGUGAUAUUGCUGCACACUGCAUGCUCAAUUCAGCUGUCGCGAGAGCAUCAAUGCUCGAGGUGAUAUGUGAUAUCGUCAAGAGGCUUCAAAGCAGGAAUGAAGCUGAGACCAUAUCACAUCUCGAAGCAAUGGAAACUGAACUGUGAGAUGCAGAGGCAGCUAGAACUGGACUCUACUGGCUGCAACACUGCUUGACAAAGUUCCAUGAAGCUCACGGGAAAAGCCCCUUGAUGCUUAACCAAAUGCAUUCAAGCCUUAAGCUGGUUUCAAAAGCUGUUGAAAGGAAUUUGGCAGCUGCUCAAAAAUGGGCCAGGGAAUCGGAGAGCUGCUUGCGAGCAUUGGCUUUGGUUGGGAAAAAGUUUCGUGAAGACAUGUCCCAGCAUGAAGCCAAGGACAGUGAGUAGCGUAAUCCCCUAAAUUGGCAGGCCAAGCUGUGAGCCCUGGGAUAUUGGAAUUAGAUUUUAUAGCAAACAUGUGUGGUUUCGGAGUUUAACUAUGUUGCAAAAUGUUUUUCAAAUGGACAAAUUACAUUUUACAACAUAGUUAUACCCUGAAACUACACAUGUAUGCUUUAUAUUCUCAAUCCAACAUCCCAAGGACUCGCAGCUUGGCCUGCUCAUUGGGGGGAUUACGCCACUCACUUGCUUUGGCUUCAUGGAGGGCCAUAUCAUCUCGGAACUUUUUCCCUACCACAACUAAUGCUCUCAAGCAGCUUUCGGACUCCGUAGCCCACUUUUGAGCUGCUGCCAAAUCCCUUUCUGCAGCUUUGGAAACCAGCCACAGGCUAGAAUCCAUUUGGUCAAGCACCUGAGGGACUUUUCCCCUGAGCUUCACGGAACUUUGUCAGGAAGAGUUGCAGCCAGGAGACCUCAAUUCUAGCUGCCUCUGCAUCUCGCAGUUCAGUCUCCAUUGCUUUGAGAUGCGAUAUGGUAUGUGCUGCAUUGCUGCUUUGAAGACAAUAUCGCAUAUGACCUCGAGCAUUGAUGCUCUCACGGUGGCUGAAGUGAACAUGCAGUUGGCAGCAAUGUCACCGUACCUGGUUAUAAUGAAGGUUAGUAUGGGUGCAUUUGCAGCCUUCACCCUGUACCCA